CAGAUAUCAACAAGCUAUUUUUAACAACUGAAAGAGUCUUUCAAAUUUUGGUAAACAUUGUAACGGGAUCUUUCUUGAAUGCAUAUACUAAUUUAUAUUGAGCUUGACGCCUUAUCAACAUCAAGGUAAAUCAAAUACUUUAAUAUUUGUUCUAAGAAUGAUUUUUUUCUUAUUCUAUCUAACAUUCUUUGACAGACCUAAUGAGAAAAUUUAGAACUUUGUUAAACCAACAGUAGCUGGAAAAAAUUGAUAUGACUAAUUUGACGUAAAAACACGUGAGUUUGCUUACAUUCAAGGGGAACACAUACAAAUUUAUAAAUGAAAUAAAGUUCUCAUUUAAAUAACACGUUUACAGCAGUUUUCCGAUUUUUGUAAAUAUUUCAAAAUAUUUUCUAUCAAGCAAAAACGUUAUUAUUGAAAAAUCGUUUAUAUCAUUACCGUAAGAAUUCAUUAGACAUGUUAGAGAGGUAUCCAUUGGCAAUGAUAAAAUAAUCAUUUCAAUAAUAUUUACCCUGAUAAUUCAAUUGUUUUGGGUUCCCCUGAACACCUGGAACAUUUUGUAAUAUCUUCAUGUCCUAUAAACAUGAUAAAUGAAAAUAACACUUUAUAAUUUCCAUGCGCUGAAACGGUCUUCUGAAGAAAGAAAGAAGAAGGUAAUAUUGGUGAUAAAGACAAAUUGAGAUAUUCAUAAGUUCAUAACACAUUGCGGUACUGACAAAUCCGUUAUUUGCCACAAAGCCUCUGAUUUUAUAUAAGUUAAAGAAAAUAGAAAAUUUUUAGAACUAUGGUUAAAAGUAUAAUCUUGCUAUGAUCAUAUCUUAUCUGAUUAAGAACUUUCAAUUGUGUUUUUAAAUUGUUUACAAUACAUUUUGGUGUAUAAAUAUGGUAAACCAAUAAUAAAAUUGAGAAUGGAAAUGGGGAAUGUGCCAAAGAGACAACAACCCGACCAUAGGAAAAAAAAAAACAGCAGCAGAAGGUCACCAACAGGUCUUCAAUGUAGCGAGAAAUUCCCGCACCCGGAAACGUCCUUCAGCUGGCCCCUAAACAAAUAUAUACUAGUUCAGUGAUAAUGAACGCCAUAUUAAUUUCCAAAUUGUACACAAGAAACUAAAAUUAAAAUAAUACAAGACUAACGCAUAACAAUACUCACAUUACAAUUCAGUCCAAGAGAUGUCCGAGUCUGAUGUCAGAAGAUGUAACCAAAGAAAAUAAACAAAAUGACAAUAAUACAUAAAUAACAACAGACUACUAGCAGUUAACCGACAUGCCAGCUCCAGACUUCAAUUAAACUGACUGAAAGAUUAUGAUUUCAUCAUAUGAACAUCAGGCACAAUCCUUCCCGUUAGGGGUUUAGUAUCAUACCAUCAUAACAUAUAUGAGAAGAACAUAACCCGUGUCAUGCCAACAACUGGUUUUUGAAUAAAUGUGUUUAGUUCCGAUGCAAAGACCCUAUAAGUGAAUCAAUAUUAACGCCAAAAUAUGCAAUUUUUAAUGACCUGACAACAGUAUCGUAACAAUAUCCCUUCUUGAUAAGUCUAUUCAAAGGUUUUAUUAAUUUUUGAGGUGAAUACUGACACCUUUGUGCUUUAUAAAGAAUAUUUCCAUAAAAAAUUGGAUGUGAAAUACCUGAACGUAUAAGAAGUCUGCAUGUUGAGCUAUAUUUACGAAUGAUGUCCUUAUACCGAUGAUACAAUUUAGUAAAUGUUUUGACUGGUUUGUGAUAUCGAAAACCCUGGUGUAAUAAUUUUUCAGUAAUACAUAAAUUUCUCUCGUUAAAAUCUAAAACAUUGUUACAUACACGAGCGAAUCGUACAAGUUGAGAUAUAUAAACACCGUAAGAUGGUGACAAGGAAACGUCACCAUCUAAAAAUGGAUAAUUAACGAUAGGAAAUGAAAAAUCAUCUCUUUUAUCAUAAAUUUUAGUAUUCAGCUUUCCGUUAGUGAUAUAGAUAUCAAGAUCGAGGAAAGGACAGUGGUCAUUGUUAGUAUUAGCUUUAUUUAAAGUAAGUUCAGCAGGAUAAAUUUUUUUUAAUAUACAUACUGAAGUCGUCAUUAUUGAGAGCCAAAAUAUCAUCCAAAUAUCUAAAAGUAUUAUUAAAUUUGUUUAUCAGAUGUUGUUUCGAUGGGUCUUUGUUUAUUUUUGUCAUAAAUUGUAACUCAUAGCAAUACAAACAUAGGUCCGCAAUAAGUGGUGCACAGUUAGUCCCCAUUGGAAUUCCUAUAAUCUGACGAUAUACGGAAUUCCCAAAGCGAACAAAAAUGUUAUCUAGUAAAAAUUCAAGUGCAUAUAUAGUAUCAAAGCAUGUCCAAUUGACAUAGUUUUUUUGUUUAUUGCUACUAAAAAAUGACCUAAAAGAGUUUGAACAUAUAUAUUCACAUUCUGACUUUUUAAAUGCCCAUUUAAUAAGGUGUGUGAAUUUUUUCUUAAUGAGAAUGUGAGGCGAUGUGGUAUACAGGGUAGAAUGUCGACUUUUCAGAUAUUCUUUUUUCACACAUAUAUAAGAUCGGAAAGUCAUACAUUAAAUACCCAUUUUAUACAAAUAAUUCAUUUCAAUUUGAUAUCAGAGACAAGGUAGAAAUUAAAUUCUCCGUUUCAGAGAAUCGAGACAAUAACCGAUCAGUUUGGUCAUUGGUAGUCAAUCAUGUUCGUUCGUUUUAUUUAAUUCCUUUUGUUUUAUUCCAUAUUAUUAACGUGGUACAGUUUUCCCUCUUUAGAAAAUGCCUGGCAUAACAAUACAGAUAAGUCACAUUACAAAAUUGUUCAUACUCAGGUUUGUUCAGUACGUUCUUUAUGUAGAAAACAGUUAUCCUACUCUUGACGAAUGAUGCUUGAUGAGUUUUUUUUUGUGCUAUAUGGGUGUUACUCCUUCUACACAUGAUUUGUACAAAUGUAUUAAAGAUACCCUACCCAAACCCCUUACAAGGUGUGUGUGAUUGUGUAAUUGGGUUUUAUGGUCAUUGGGUUAGUUUAAAUCUGAAAAAAAAAUUACGUCCAUUUUUUUUUAAGGUUUUUUCGAGAACACAAAAUAUUUAGAAAGAAAUAAAUUAGUUCUCUACCAUUUCAUGUUCAAAUAUCAUACAUCAUGGCUAUACUUUGUAAAAAUUAUAUUACUAAGUUACUCAUUAUUGUAUUGAUUGUUUGGUUACGCUGUAAUUUGCAAGUAAAUACAAAAUGAAUGCAUAUAUCCUUUUAAUUUAAAGUUUAGACUUUCAUUAUGAUAACUUGCAAGUCAUAAUCUUCGUAUUGUCCUAAUAGUCCGGCUGAUCGGUGAAAAAAUUGCACAAAUAAUGAGGAAAGCACCAAUUUUUGCAUGAUGGUACAUUUUUGUGUACUGACAAGUAUUAGCUAUGGACCCACUGUCCAAAUUCAAUAUGGCGGCUUAUUUCAAGAUGGCUGCCGUACGUUCUAAAAUAUUUUCCAGUAUUGUACAAACCACAGUGGAUUUGAUGCUGAAAGCCCAAAAAUCAACAUAUUUUAAUGACUUGGUGUACUUAGCAAGAUUUUGUUUUGAUCUAUCUUUGAAAUACAAAAUGGCGGCAAUUUUCAAAAUGGGCGCCUUGAAAAAUAUGCAAAUAUUCAUUAUUGAGAAUUGACCUGAAUAUAAGCAUUGUAUUGAUGUAUAGUGUCAUUUAGCAUCUGUCUCAGUUCUGUCCUUUUUUAUUUUGCUUGGCUUGUCCUUUCAUACACAAAGUAGUAGCUUUCAUAAAAAGCUGCAGUAGUAGCUUUCAUUAAAAGCUGUACUAUUUGUUGUCUUGGGUCACACAUAAAAGCUGUGAUUUGGGAUUUAUCUGCCUUAAGAUAUUAUUCAGUGCCUAUCUUAUUUCUUGGGUCGCAAUAUUAUACUGUGAUUUGAGAAUCAUUUAAAAACAUAUCAGUGAAAUGGCAGGAAUGGAGGACAACAAGGACAAGAACUUUGAAAUGGUAGAAACUGAAUCACUUUGGAAAAUGGAAAAACCAACAGCUGAAGACGCUUUAACAGAGGACAGUUCAGAAAUGACUAUUAAACAAUUGUGCCAAGAAUUUUUAGCAGAUAGAAAAUCUAAUGCUCAAAGAACAGCUGAGAUUUACCGCAAAAUAAAACAGAGCGAAGCGCGAAUUGAUAAAAUAUGUGUUGGUCUCAUUACGAUUCAAGCUGAACAGAAAGAGGCAAAGAAUAUUAGUAACGAACAGAUGGGAGCAAUAUCUCAGCAACUUCAGCAGUCUGAAGACAGGAUAGACCACAAGGCUUGUGGUAAUUGCUUGGCGGAAUUGAUGGUCAGACCAUUUAGAUAUUCAAUGUUGUGGUGAGACGAAUUGACAAGCUGAUAACAACUGAGGAAGGAGACACAGUUCAAUUUAAAAGUGUAUUGGAACAGCAGGGUACCUUCCAACAACUGGCAUCUGUUGUAAAUGAAUUAGUGGACAAUCGAAACAAAGAAGAUAAAAUUCCUGCAAUGGACACAUCAUCUAAACCUUAGCCAGUACAACACAAGUCUGCCAAAAGUACACAACGAAAUCCAUGCCUUGGGUCUUUCCCCAAUUGUAGUUCGCAUGAACCAUCAACCACGCCAACUCUGUUGAAGAUGUCUUCACCUUAAGUCAAAAUUCUUAUGUCAGGGCCCUUGGCCCUCCAUGAGACAGUUCAAACUAUUCAACGAUAAUCUCCAUAUAAGAACAUACUGUAAACCUCUAGUACUAAUCAAGGAUACCAGCAAAAGGCUUAUGUGUCCUCUUACGCACAAUUACCAUCUACUAUGAGCCAAUAAUAUUUGGUUUAGAGCAGCACACCCUUACAGAAACAAUUGACUGCAAGUGGAUCCUAUCAAGUUUCUCCAAUGCUGAAUGCAGUGCCUACUUACGGUAUCAUCCCCGUCGAGUCAAUGGCAAAUCCCAUAUUUAUCACUCCAAUUAUGACAACCUCGUCAGCUCCUUGAGUUCUAACAGGCUUUCCAUAACAACAAGUUGACUACACUGACCGAUCCAGGAAAGGGCAGAGGAAACCUACAGAGUGUGGCAACAGGUCUUCUUCAGACUCUUCAUUAUUGAGAGAAUAUACCCGAUGGCAAGAAAAUAUUGGUGUAAGGGACCGGAGCCGAAGCCCACAGCUGCCAAAAAUGCAAAAACUCGAUUGAAGAGGAUCCUUGAAUUGGGAGGCGUUCAUUUAACAAUUUGAACGAACUGCCGACUGAUGACAAUGGGAAACAGGAAAAAUGUGUGUAGGCCCAGGUUUUGCCAGGCCCAUGUUGGCCCUGAGUAUGCUCGCAAGGUAAACACAAAUGAUGAUUCCAAGGCCAUAAAAAAACCCAUUGGAGCAGCGCUUCAGCAAGAAAGACGAUCAAACCAGAUUGGAACCGGAGCAUUCCACCGAGGAUGUAAAGACAAAAAUUCUUCAUGGCAGGUAAAAAGUAAGAUCACAAAAAUACUGAACUCGGAGGAAAAUCAAAUCGAAAAGUCCCUAAUCUUGACAAAAUCAAAUAACAAAACACAUAAAAAAAAGAACAACUAUCAUAUACCUGACUUGGUACAGGCAUUUUCAAAUGUAGAAAAUGGUGAAUUAAUCCUGGUAUCAUAGCGCUAAACCUCUCACUUUGUACGACAGUUUAAUCAAAUUCCGUUAUAUUUACAAUGAUGCGUGAACUAAACAGACAUAAUAAAUAAAAUAGUCAACAUAUGGGCACAGCAGUAAUCAUAAUAGAGAGCAACCCAGAAACAUUCAACAAGGCGUUUAAACAAUUGAAAACCUCAAUAGCAAACCAGAUGGCGAUAUAUGAAUCAAAAAGUGCCAAUUAUGACCAUCGACAAGUCCACUUUGCUGAUGGCGCAGUAUCACCGACCGAUAAAUAUGAGCAGUCCUUUGGAUAAUGAGAUGCAUAACCUCACACAAAUUAUCACAAAACUAGCUGAUGUUAUGCCUUCAACUAAUCAGCAAAACCGUGAAUUGGCCGAUCAAUAUAACCUCGGCUCUUCUAAUCUGAUAUUCAUGGAAGAUCACCUGAUCAAUAUGCACGUGGAAGAUUUCCUGAGCAAUACAAUCGCGGUAGAUCGCCAGAUAGGAAUACACCCAAGCUUAAUGCCUAUCGAUCAGCAACACAACACCUCACUAAGCUAGAGAUCAUAUAGUCCAUAAAGACAACGGUUAGCAUCUCCAGGAUACGGAGCAAAUCAAAGCGCAACCCAACAAUGGAAUUUUACACAGCAUAGGGUCGGGCCAGCAGCCAACGCACGAUUCAAAGUCUAUUGGCCAUGAAACAUCAUCUCAUCACAAAAUCGAACAGAGGCACACGGCUUCGUCCGAUAUUGUCAUUAGACGAAGUUAUACUUAGGCUAGAUAUUUUGGACACACUUAGCGCAUUGAUAAACCUGAGUACUCCCACACUUACCAUCAAUAAUAAAGUGAUAAAUGCGGCAUUUGUUAACAGUGGAAACGAGAUUUCAACUCAGCAAGUUUGCAUAAAACAAACCAUCACAGUUCCGCCAAACUCAGAAAUAACUGUUACCAUUAAAACUAAUAAAAAAUGCUGACCAGGAGUGCAUUUGAGGACCAUGCUCGCUGAAUAGUUGCGAAUUGGUUUCGCACGUAGUUGGAAAAGGAAUUAGUUGCCCCUUAACCAUUUUAAAUGAUGGCAAUUGUCUAAUUCGCCUGAAGAAAGGUACACCUAUUGAUUACAUAGAAUAAUUGGACGAUGUAGUGGAUACGGCAGAUGAAAACGCGAUAAAUGACGUAAGACGUGGCAUUGAAGAGAUCCGAGACAAGGUGCCCUCUGCACUGCCUGAAAGUUCAGAUGAGUUACCUGCUAUUCCACCACAUUUAACCGACCUAUAGAAAUAACCAAAUUAUUUUUUUUAUAUUUUAAAAUUAGUUGAUAACAAAUUCAAGAACAUGAAGUCCAUUUUUAAAGAAUCAUCACUUUAAUUUCCUAAAAUAUAUAGAAUACCUUAGGGACAGUCUUGAUAUUUAUACCGUUUUUCCGCCAUCUUGAAAAUGGCAGCCAUAUUGGAUUUUUCAGAGUGGGUCCAUAGCUGAAAUCAAAGGGUAUAUAACCAAGAACUACUAUGCAAAGUUUCAUGCUUUCCUCAUCAAGUGAGCAAUUUUGUUCUAUAUCUGCACCAAUCGGCCGGACUAUAAUCUUCUACAAUAUCUAUUUUUAAGUCAACUGCAAUUUUUUUGUCAACCUUUUAAUCAAUUUUAAAGACGCAAAAUAAAUUAUCGAUAACCGAAAUACUUUAAUAUGCUUCUUAAAUAGAUAAAGUGCAAGGUCAUUCCUAUGUAUAGAGUGAUCUGUAUACUUUAAAAAUUAAACAGUUUAACUAUACUGUCGGUCUGUAUCUAAUAUUAGAAUAUGAUUGUCAAUAAAUAACAACUAAUACAAUGUACAAGGAUUGUAUUAUUGGGUGACAUUUGAAUUUUCAUUUCUUUAUCUUCCUUUUUACAACACAAUCUUAACCAGAAAUGAAAUGAAAAGUAAACUAACAAAAAUACCAAACUCCGGGGAAAAGUCUAAAUCGAAAGUCCCGUAGCAAAUGGCAAAAAAAUAAAGCUCCAAUACAUCAAACGAAUGGAUAACAACUGUCAUAUUCCUUACUUGGUACAGGCAUUUUCUGAUGUAGAAAAUGAUGGAUAAACCUGGUUUUAUAGCUAAUGUUAGAUCCAAUAAACCAUGAUCGUUCGGCGUGCUUUUUAUGUGCAUGGAAACAUUUUUGUCCAAGUAUUAUUUCUGUUGGUUAAACAUUUAAAAUUGGAAUUUAAGUCGGCAAUUGCCAUUGCAAGUUGAGUAUUAAAAUACUGUACUUGUCGUUAAUGAGUGUUGGAGGUUUAAGACUAUUAAAUUUAUCGUAGCGAUAAAAGAAUAGAACACUUACACGAUGAAGCUUUAGAUAUGUGUGAAUAAAAAAGGAGAAAAUUUUGAUCCCAAGGAGAAAAAUACGGAAACGAAAACGAGAGAUUUAGCAAUAUGUAUAAACUCUUACAACAUAUUUAAGAAAUUUUCAAUCGACAAAAGUGAAAACAAUUGUUUUUUAUCCAAAGGCUAUUCCUUCGAUAUACAGGUGUUCCAUUGUUGGUUUUAGCGUAUUUUUGUGUUAGUUUGGAUUUUUUGUCGGCUUUUCAAUCUUUAAAUACACAAGCGUUUUGGUUUCUGCUGAUUAAUUAAUUAGGAGCUACACUGACGGGAACAGAAAUAAUCAGUAUAUGCUCGUAAUUUCACAAGAGAUGGAUCCAAAUUUCAGUCCUCCUUUAUGGCUUGAACAUUAUUUAUUUCUUUUUUUAAUUUUUGACUGAAGCCACAGUCCGAUCUCCAUAUCCUAUAACGCAUCAAAUUUGAACACUCUAUAUCUACUAUUUUUCUAAGAAUCCUUGAUCCGGUAAUAGUUCGUAUUCAAUUAUUUUUAAAUAAGUUUUGUAUAUGAUCUUGUACAAUGUAAAAUGUUUGCAUUUAACAAUGAUUCAAAUUUCAAUAAAUAUUGGAAAAAACCUUGUAAGAUCUGUUGACUUAAGGAUACGUUCUAAAUUUUUUAGUGACCAAGAGGCUUUUACAUUGCCAUCAUAACAUGCGUAAUCUUCUAUUUACAAAUCAGAAAUAUUUACAUAUUACAAUAGUCAGGCUUAGAUGGUACUUCAAUGCAAUGGUAUACAUUAGCUGUAAACACUCUGGUAAGGGAUUCAAUAUAAUAUUAAAUUCCAGACGGAUGUUUAUCAUAAGACUUCGACCUGAGUGUACAUGAGCUAUUUUUAGCCUCGGAAAAUUUCCAACUCCCACACAAAGUAGAAAUCGUAUAUAAACAAAGAAUCGAAAAGAAAGUAUUAUGAUAUUAUAUAUUAAAAAGGCAAGGGCUAGAAACAUAAAGAUUAAAGUGCAUUGCUGUUUCUUAGAAAAUACUUGUGUGUUUUUAAAUAGAAUAUUUUACCUACAAAGGUAAGAUAAAUAAUUUUUAGUCUUUUUCUUUUUUUUGCUUUCGUAUUAUAUCCAACAGUGAUAAUAAGAAGCUUGUAUAAGGUUUUUUUUGCAAUUAUAGCAAUUCAGAUCAAAAAGAUUUAAAAAUGUUUAAAAAAGAAUCUAUUUUGCUCAAAAUCUUAAAAUGUAAAAGGCUUUAUACAAAUUAUGGUGAAUGUGUUUGUAUAAAACAAUUAUUGUCUCAUGACAUAGGACCGUGCCGAAUUUCAUUUUAAUUAUUUUUAAAGAAAGCUAUUUACUGUGUCAAACAUUUGUGUCAGAAAUGAUCUUCCUAAACAUCACAUGUGCUUUAGUUUUUUCGUAUUCAUGCACUUAAAUUUCCUUUAUUUGUAAAUGCAAACGUUUAUUUAUUUUCAUAAAUUGUUCAAAAUUUUAAGGACAGUUUUUUCAUUUGCAUAUUUGAAAUAAAUAAAGAGAAAUAACAAUUUUACAUUAUAAAAUACUAUAAUUCACCAAAGACAUAUUAAACGACCGCUUUUACAUAGUUUGUUUAUACAUAGAGGACUCAUAUAGGCUUUCAUGUGUAAACAGCUGUCUAAAGAGGAAGAAAACAUAAAAGUUUUGCUAACAUGUUCAUAAUUUUUUCCGUUUUCUUUUCUUAUUUGGAUGUCUAAACAGCUUGCAAAGUAGACUCUUGUGUGACAAAUUUCUGAAUUUUAUCAAAUUAGUCAUCCAGUAUUUUUAAUUUCCUUGUAUCUUGCAGAAUUAAGAAGUUCUUUAGUUGGAAUGUAUGGUGAAAUGAACUGCGACAUAUGUAAAAUGGUACACUUCUUCCCGGAGCAUAUCAGAAGGCAUGUUGUGGAAGUUCUCAAAACUGGCAAAGUUUGUAAGGAACUACUCCAUUAUGACAACAUCUUGAUGUAUUUAGAAGUGAGUUGCAUAUCACUUCCUCUGAAAACAGCUUGCGAGGAGAAGCUUCUAGAACGCGUAGAAGUGGAUGAAUGCAAUAUACGCUUUACAAAUUGCGGAAAAGUAUGAACUUGUAAUUCUCAAGAAGAAAGCCAUAGAGUUGAUAGCCGACCAUUUCAAGAAUCUGUGGGAUACUGAUUCUUUCGUGUACCUUCAUGAACAUAGCUUAGAAAAAAUUUGUCAGGUCGAAAAGGUUUUUAAACAUGAUGAUGUUUUCCGAGCUUUGGAAAAAUGGCUAAAUUGGAAUCAUGAAAAUCGUUUGAAGUUUUACGGUAAACUUUUACAUUUGGUCCAGAAACAGCGCUCUCCACGAAAAUAUUAUGACACUGAAAAGACAUACCAUUUGUAUCAUGCCAUGAUCAUCCCGUCUGUUACAUCAAAGUCUGCUAUAGAAGUCGCGGUCUUCAACUGCGAUGGCGAUCUGGUAUGUCACAGGAAUUUGUUUAAAAGUCAUGACGUAAAGGACAGGUUUUCUGUUGCGUGUGCGCGAAACCGAAGCACCUUAUGUUUACAUUGCAUUUGAAAAACAUGUGGUUCGGUACGAUCCUGUUCUGUUAAAGCAUGAAAACUGUCAUAAUCUCAAUCAUCAACGGUCAGAAUGUUCUUUGGUAGUUCUUGGAGAUUUCAUUUACGCUCUUGGUGGCCACCAUAAUGGCAAUAAUGUGUUAGAAAUAGAAGAACUGGACACAAAGCACCAUCGAAAUAAGUUCUUGCUUAAAAAGUCAUGGAAAACAAUUGCACAUCUACCGGACAACGUAAAACUUUCAUUCGCCCCAUGUAUGACUUAUUUGAAUAAGAUAUACAUUGUUGCCGAAAUAUUAAGUAAUGAAAAUAUAAAGUCGACGGGCCUUUUAACCUUUGACCCAAAUGAAAAUUCAGUCGAAAUAGUGGCCAAUUUUUUAAAAAAUUGUUCGGACUGUAGAGCCGUUCUCUAUGAUUCGAAAAUAUUCAUUGCUUCAAGCGAGGGAUAUUUUCUGCAAUAUGACAUCGAGACAAAAACAUUUUCUUCCUGUAAAGAUUUACCUACGAAAGGAAAUAAUUUUGGAAUGUAUGCUGCAAGAAACAAUAUUUACUUUGUUGGCGCGUCCGUUUCCGAUAAUAACAUUAAUAGAUUUGAAAAAGAUGGAUAUGAUAUUCAGACAAACAGUUGGAAACGAGAACGAAACCUACCAUGUAAUCUUCCAAUUUAUGGAAGCUGUGACAUUAAAGUCCCUUCCUACACUAAUUUGAUCCCAUUUAAUGAUUCAAGGUGACUAGACAGCCAUUUGUUAAGUUGUAAUACUAAUAUCGUUGAUUCUUUGCUUUCUAUAAACUCAUUGAUAUGUUUAAAAAUUAAAUUUCCAAAUUGUAAAUCAUAUGUUGAGUUUUCCUAGGAUUGAAAUCAUUUGCCUGAAGGAUGUAAUUUAAUUUAGCAAUAUUAACGAACUAAUAGUACUGCAUGAAAACUCAAAUCAAAACAUUGGAUCAACAACUGUUUUUGUAUGAUAUUUAGGUCAUGUAUUGGAAUCGAUAUUUUGUAGCGUACAUUUAUAAAAAAUAAUGCA
rnacentral:lncRNA from 1 species